CGUACACUCCUGCGGGAGGCAGCAGUGAGGAAUAUUGGACAAUGGGUGGAAGCCUGAUCCAGCCAUCCCGCGUGCAGGAAGACGGCCCUAUGGGUUGUAAACUGCUUUUAUCUGGGGAUAAACCUACUUACGUGUAAGUAGCUGAAGGUACCAGAAGAAUAAGCACCGGCUAACUCCGUGCCAGCAGCCGCGGUAAUACGGAGGGUGCAAGCGUUAUCCGGAUUUAUUGGGUUUAAAGGGUCCGUAGGCGGACUGAUAAGUCAGUGGUGAAAUCCGACAGCUUAACUGUCGAACUGCCAUUGAUACUGUUAGUCUUGAGUAAGGUUGAAGUGGCUGGAAUAAGUAGUGUAGCGGUGAAAUGCAUAGAUAUUACUUACAACACCAAUUGCGAAGGCAGGUCACUAAGUCUUAACUGACGCUGAUGGACGAAAGCGUGGGGAGCGAACAGGAUUAGAAACCCGUGUAGUCC
rnacentral:rRNA from 1 species